CCGCCCGGCCUCACCAUGCUCCCGCUGCUCGGGCUGUACUUUGCGCUGCCGCUCUGCGCCGGGUUGCUGGAAGAGGCGAGGAGCUGGGGAGACACAUCGGAUCAAGUUGGACUCAGGAUCCCAAGGCAAGUCAGGCUGUUGCAAAGGCUGAAAGCCAAACCCUUGAUGACGGAGUUCUCGGUGAAGUCUACCAUCAUCUCCCGUUACGCCUUCACCACAGUUGCAUGUAGGAUGCUCAACAGAGGGUCUGGGGACCAGGAAGUCACGUUUCAGAUGCAGAUUCCAGCUGCAGCUUUCAUCACCAACUUCACUGUGCUUAUUGGAGACACUGUGUAUCAGGGAGAAAUUACAGAGAGAGAAAAGAGAAAUGGUGAUAAGGUAAAAGAGAAGAGGAAUAAAACCGUAGAAGAUAAUGGGGAGAAGGGGACGGAGACAUUCAGAGCUUCUGUGGUGCUUCCCAGCAAGGACAAGGCUGCCUUCCUCCUGAGUUACGAGGAGCUCCUGCAGAGACGGCUGGGGAAGUACGAGCACGUGGUCAGCGUGCGACCCCAGCAGCUGGUGGGGCGGCUGAUGGUGGAGGUGACCGUGCUGGAGAGGUCAGGCAUCGCGGAGCUGGAGGUGCUGGGGCUGCAGAACAGCCGGCAGAGGGGCAGUGGCUGGGGCCUAGAUGAUUCUGGGCCACCUCCUUCUACUGUUAUCAACCAAAAUGAAACUUUUGCCAAAGUUGUUUUUAAGCCUAGUGUGGUCCAGCAAGCCAAGAUUGCCCAGAAUGGCAUUUUGGGAGAUUUCAUCGUUAGAUAUGAUGUCAAUAGGGAACAGAGCAUUGGGGACAUCCAGGUUCUAGAUGGCUAUUUCGUGCACUAUUUUGCCCCCAAAGACCUUCCGCCUUUACCUAAGAACGUGGUGUUUGUGCUUGAUAGCAGUGCUUCCAUGGUGGGAACCAAACUCCGCCAGACCAAGGAUGCCCUUUUCACAAUUUUGCAUGACCUGCGACCCCAGGACCAUUUCAAUAUCGUUGGGUUUUCCAACCGGAUCAAAGUGUGGAAGGACCAUUUGGUGUCAGUUACUCCCAACAGCAUCAGAGAUGGCAAAGUCUACAUCCACCACAUGUCGCCAAGCGGAGGCACGGACAUCAACGGGGCCCUGCAGAGGGGCAUCCAGCUGCUUAAUGACUAUGUGGCCCACAACGACAUCGAGGACCGCAGCGUGUCCCUUGUGGUCUUCCUGACAGACGGGAAGCCCACCGUCGGGGAGACCCACACCCUUAAGAUCCUCAACAACACCCGGGAGGCCACCCGGGGCCGGAUCUGCAUCUUCACUGUGGGCAUCGGGGCCGAUGUGGACUUCAAGCUGCUGGAGAAGCUGUCCCUGGAGAACUGCGGGCUCACGCGGCGAGUCCACGAAGAGCACGACGCCCGAGCCCAGCUCAUCGGGUUCUAUGAUGAGAUCAGGACCCCGCUCCUCUCUGACAUCCGCGUGGAUUAUCCUCCCGGCUUGGUGGAGCGUGCCACCAGGACCCUGUUCCCCAACUACUUCAACGGCUCGGAGAUCGUAAUCGCAGGGAAGCUGGUGGACAGGGCAAUGGACCGGCUGCACGUGGAGGUCACGGCCAGCAACAGUAAGAAGUUUGUGGUGCUCAAGAAGGAUGUGCCCGUGGAGCCCCGGAAGGUGGGGAUCGACGUCCCGCAGAGCCCCAGGCCCAGGGGGCAUGGCCAGGAGGAGCCCAACCACCUGGAACGUCUCUGGAGCUACCUGACCCUGAAGGAGCUGCUGAGUGCCUGGCUGCAGAGCAUCGAGGAGCCGGAAAGGGAGCGGCUGAGGCAGGAGGCCCAGGCGCUGGCCGUGAACCGCCGCUUCCUCAUCCCUUUCACAUCCAUGACGCUGAAGUCAGCACCGCGGACAGAGACCCCAGAGGCCGCCUACGGCAUGUCCAGCGCAUCUGUGGCCACUGGACCCGAAACGGUGAUGCAGAGCCUGCGAGGCACACGCCUGCAGCCAGGACCUGCUGUCAAGAAACCAUACAACCCAAGGAUUAAAAUCUCCAAAACAUCAGCGGAUGGAGACCCCCACUUUGUUGUGGAUUUCCCCUUGAGCAACCUCACCGUCUGUUUCAACAUUGAUGGAGAACCCGGGCACAUCCUGAGGCUGGUCUCUGAUCACGCAGACUCUGGUGUGACGGUGAACGGAGAAUUGAUUGGGGCCCCUGCUCCUCCAAACGGCCACAAGAAACAGCGCACGUACUUCCGUACCAUCACCAUCCUCGUCAACAAGCCGGAGAGAUCUUACCUGGAGAUCACCCCCAGCAGGGUCAUCGUGGAUGGUGGGGACAGGCUGGUCCUCCCCUGCAACCAGAGUGCGGUCGUGGGGCGCCGGGGGCUGGAGGUGUCCGUGUCUGCCAAUGCCAACGUCACCGUCAGCAUCCGGGGCACCGUGGCCUUUGUCGUCCUCCUCCACCUCUACAAAAACCCAGCCCCUUACCAGCGCAACCACCUGGGCUUCUACAUCGCCAACGGCCAAGGCCUCUCCAGCAACUGCCACGGCCUGCUAGGUCAAUUCCUGAACCAGGAGGCCAGACUCAUAGGGCUCAGCAAGCGCCCUGCGCAUCCUCCGGUUCCCGAGGCAGGAGAGAGGUCUGAGGCCGUCCUUGAGGUUAAAGGUCGCCAGGUCCCGGUGGUCUGGAAGCAGAGGAGGAUCUACAAUGGGGAGGAGCAGGUGGACUGCUGGUUUGCCCGGAACAACGCUGCCGGCCUGCUUGACGGGGAGUACCAGGGCUACCUGGCGGCCCAUCCUUUUGACUCCGAGACCGCCUUCGGCCCGGGCCCCUCCCGGGGACUCUGACAGCAGCAGCCGCAUGCAAGAGUGCGUGGCAGGGGACCCCGUGGUCUGGUUCUUGGCUGGUUCAGUCUGGUAGCCACCGCCCUGACCUCAGCCCUAGUGGUGGGGAGGUCUGCCGUCUGCUUGAAAAGAGAGUGGGAUCAGGACCUUGAAGGGAGGAGGGGAAUUUUCCCCCUCUCCUCCCCCUCCCUCAUCUCCAGCAGCAAAAGAUGGUGGCACCAAGGGGCCAGUCACAGCUAAAAGCAAGUCUCUGUCUUGUCCCAGCUGGCCUGUCCAUCUCACCGCCAACCCUAAGGUGACUGAUGAAGGAAGGUCGGGUCUGUUUUCUUUGCGGAAAUGGCCAAGUUCGGGCACUCUGCUCUGCGCCUCAUACUAAUGCUUAGGGAUCUCUCUUCCUAGCCUGGCUGUGUCCUCCAGACAUGCGGCCAACCUCUGCCUCAGGGGAGCCUUUCCCUGGCCUCAGCCCCCCACCCCCACCCCCUGGUAUUGCACACAGCAUGCAGACUGGAUCAUUGUAAACCACUCGGCCUGGCUUUAGCAGAGGAUUUUCUUCUGCCUUGAUGUCUCGCCCUUGAAAAUUUGUUUUCAUUUAAAAAAAAGAUCAAUUCAAAAUAGAAACGCUGCAUUCCAGAUACCAACAUUCUUCUAACAGGCUCUGUAAACCCCUUGUCUUUUGCUGGUGAGAUUCUAUUUAUUCCGGAAAGCUGAUAACACACAGGGCGGCCCACGUGGGAGUAUUUCACUGGCCCGUCUCGGAGCUGGAGUGCCGUCCAGCUGCACGAUGAAUCUUCCAUUUGGCUCUUCCAGCCUGGUCCUGCUUCCAGCCUGGUUCGCUCGAGGUCCCCAGGAGGUGAUGAGGCAGGCUCUUGCAGAACUGUGAUGGGGAGGGAUUGGGUCAGCACAGAGCCGACCUACAGGGAUCAAACUCUCAGCAGGAAGCAUGGACAAUGGGGCCCACAUCCCAGACCCAGAGGCCGGAAGUCAGUAUGAGCGAGAGGCUGGGGACAGAUCUGAUUCCAUCAGGACAGGUUACAGUCAGGGGUCGGGGGUGAUAUCAGAAGUCAGUGACGUCACCCUCCUUCUUGCGGGAGCUGUGAAGCCUGCUGCAUCAUCAAGACAGAUUUUUCACCAGAGCCACCAGGGAAGCCCUUUGUGAUGGGAUUA